UGGGGAAUUUUGGACAAUGGGGGAAACCCUGAUCCAGCCAUCCCGCGUGUGCGAUGAAGGCCUUCGGGUUGUAAAGCACUUUUGGCAGGAAAGAAACAGCCUGGGAUAAUACCCCGGGCGACUGACGGUACCUGCAGAAUAAGCACCGGCUAACUACGUGCCAGCAGCCGCGGUAAUACGUAGGGUGCAAGCGUUAAUCGGAAUUACUGGGCAUAAAGCGUGCGCAGGCGGUUCGGAAAGAAAGGUGUGAAAUCCCAGGGCUUAACCUUGGAACUGCACUUUUAACUACCGAGCUAGAGUACGUCAGAGGGGGGUAGAAUUCCACGUGUAGCAGUGAAAUGCGUAGAGAUGUGGAGGAAUACCGAUGGCGAAGGCAGCCCCCUGGGAUGAUACUGACGCUCAUGCACGAAAGCGUGGGGAGCAAACAGGAUUAGAUACCCUGGUAGUCCACGCCCUAAACGAUGUCAACUAGCUGUUGGGGUUUAUUAACCUUAGUAGCGCAGCUAACGCGUGAAGUUGACCGCCUGGGGAGUACGGUCGCAAGAUUAAAACUU
rnacentral:rRNA from 1 species